ACACCGGCCCUCAAGGCCUAGGAUGUGGGGUUUAAACGAUGCUCAGUUGAUACUGAGGGACCUAAAAUGUGUCACGAAAAUAUGUCCCACACAUUACAACCACCAGUACUCUGAGCCAUUGAUAAAAGACAGUAUGGAUCCUUGUUUUUGUGUUUUUUAUGCCCAAUUCUGACCCUACCAUCUGGAUGUCACCGCAGAAAUCAAGACUCAUCACACCAGGCAACCUUCUUCAAUUUUGCCAACAGAAACACGUCUUGACUCCAGAAUACCCAAGUUAAACCUUAACCCAGAGUGCCCUGCACUCAGGAAACAGGAAAUAAGAAAGACGUUUCAUGGCUCCACACUUGACUGAAUUCCAAUGAUGUUACUCCACAUCCAGCAACACAUGGUUCUCCAUCAGGUCUUUUAACUAACCCAGGCACAAGCAGCUGUGCAGCUGACCUGUUCCAUCAACCUGCCUGAGUCUUGGACUGACCCCUCCCCGAGAGCCCGGACUUUAAACAUUAUUAAAUCAGUGUGGGAUCAUCUUGACAGAUAUGGAACAAAAGACAGCCAACAUCCAAAGAAGAGCUUCGAAUGUCCUUCAGAAGCCCGGAGACUACUUUAAAAAAUUACAAGGUGAACGUUAAGAGACGGCGAAGGUACUUUCUUGUUGCUGCCGUUAUCGCUGUGGGCCACACGGGCAGCCAGCAGGGUUAAUACGGCUUAAAGGGCAUUUGCCACCAGCAGCCUCUUACCUGGUCUCCUGGGAUUCAGGGCCACUUGGGAGGGGGAGGGGGAACUACUUGACUGCAUCAGAGAUUAUUUCAAGGAGACAGAAAAUGUAGAAGUGGCUCUCUCUGUGGAAUUUUUUUUUUUUUCUAAGCAAAAGGGAACCCGUGUCAGCCAAUUUGCUUUUAUACCCCAGUAAUCCUGUCUUGCUGAGAAGUGUACUUAUUCAACUACAUAAAGAACUGUGCUGUGUUUUGACUUUGUCAGUCAUGUUACUUUAUGUAAUAAAGCUAUCAUAAAGCAUGUGCACUUCAAACUCAAUACAAGGACUGGUCUUGAUUAGAUGCAAGAAUGUGAAAACUUUCAUACCGAACUACCUACACCGAGUGUGCACAGCCUUGACAGUGUUGGAGUGUAUACAUGGAAUAUGCUCCAACUUCAUAAGAUCUUUCAUGAUCAUAUAGCCUUCACUCUGUGUCUAUUUUUAGUGGUGUUUCCGAGUUGGACUAGAAAUAUCUUAGGGAUGUAAAUCUGAGUCCAAAACCACAUUACACAGUGUCUACACUGUGUAAACAGUGUGUAACUAUAGACAGAGAAGUUGAUGUUAAUGCAAAUAGUGUGAUCAGCUGUUGUUUUUGGUUAGAAGCCACAUGGAGAUGUUAGUGGUUAACGCUUGGUUAAAGUAUGCUGCUCUGGAAAAAAGCUGCAAUGUUUAAAGAGUAUUCAGGAAAAAUGUUAAGUGGAAUUAUAAUAACAGAGCUAUAUUAUUUUAAUCAACUAUUAAUAACUGAGUGAUUAUGCCUUGGGUAGAAAUAAUCCCUCCCAUCCCCAUUUAAAAAAAAAAAAAAAAAAAAAAUUUUAUACACAUAUAUAUAUGUAGAAUUGUUAAAUAAAUAACUGUUUUAAAUUUGAUAGCACAGUAUUAGGCUACGUUCACACUGCAGGUCUU